rnacentral:lncRNA from 1 species
AAAAACUUGGUGAGGAAGUAAUUGAAGGAUCUAUGAAUAAUAAUAAUUUUGUUAUUAUUCUCAUUUUACAGGUAAAGGAACCGAGACUUAGAGACCUGCCCAUAGUAAGAAAAUGCAACAUCUGGGUCUAGGGUCCAAAUCUAUCUCUGCUGUGAAGAGGAACUCAUAUAGGAGAUGUACACGAUUACAAAUUCUUGGCCUUGCAGUGGAGGGAUGAGGAGGCCUCAGGAAACUUAACAAUCAUCAUGGAAGGGAAAGCAAACACAUCCUUCUUCACAUGGCAG